UUCAACAGGAGAGGACCUCAGAAAGUUUGCUCCUCGUAACAAGCGCGACUUUUUCGCAUCAUCUCAAUUAAUGUGCACACAAAGUUGUAAAUUCAUCCUGGCAUCCUCCAUUUGGUCUUUUCUGAACUGGCUGCUCUUCUCAGCCAGCUCAGCGCACCAAUUUCAAACCAUCUUCUCUUCAAGGCAUUGUACAAGCCACCGCAUCAUCACAGGCUUCGCACGGCGGAGAAUCCCGCCCGGCCUGGAGAGUCGGCACAAGCUCGGAGCGGAGUCCGGAGUACCGAGCGUCACAGAUUGCGUUAAACUGAACUUGAAUGGAACUGAACAUGAAACAAAGUAGUAGGCCUACUGAACGCGUUGAACUCGAACUGAACCUCGACUUGGAGGAUGCUCUAGCUUCACGCAAGAAUACAGAUAUCUGAGAAAUGGCAGCCUGUCAUAUCUGGAUGAGAGUGGUCAGAUGAAGAGGCUUCUGGUUGAGGCUUCUGAUGGAGGCCCCGUUGCUGCUAGGAGGAAAACGCAGGGAGGAGAACCUACGGAACUCGGAACUGUGGACUGUGCUUGCUGAGCUUGCCAGGAAUUCCUACAAACUUCGGACAUGAUUCUUUAUGGAGAGAAAACCCCACCGGAUAAUUGGGCAAGUAAUUACUAAAUAAAAAGAUAUUUCAAGAGAUGAAAUGAAAAGA